GACGAACGCUGGCGGCGUGCCUAAUACAUGCCAGUCGAGCGAAAGGGCGAGGAGCUUGUGUCGCUGAUGUGAGCGGCGCACGGGUGAGUAACGCGUGGAGAAUCUCCCUAUAAGAGGGGGAUAACUUCGGGAAACGGGAGCUAAUACCGGAUGAUAUCUUGAACCACAUGGUUCAAAAGUGAAAGACGGUCUUGCUGUAUCUAAUAGAGGGAUCCCGGCUUCUUUGGCUGGUUGGUAAGGUAACGGCCUACCAAGGGAAGGAUGCAUGGCCGACGGGAGAGGGGGAUCGGCCACACUGGAGCGUGGACACGGUCCAGACUCCUACGGGAGGCAGCAGAAGGGAACCUGCCGCAGUGGGGGAAAGCCUGACGGAGCAACGCCGCGUGAGUGAUAAAGGUCUUCGGAUCGUAAAACUCUGUUAUUGGGGAGAAACAUAUGUGGAAGGAAAUGUGCACCUAGUGACGGUAACUAAUCAGAAAGCCACGGCUAACUACGUG
rnacentral:rRNA from 1 species